AAAUUUGUCUAUCAAUUAGCUUUUGAUACCGAAUACUUGAGUUUUGAUACAACUUGAUGAUAAAAAACCUUUAAAUUGUAUAUCUGUGUGAUACAUACAUUUAAGUGUCUUUUGAAUGGAUGUGCAAUACUAGAUCUGAUUUUUGUGUUGGCUGGGUACAUUGUUCAAUAGGUAUGGGUUUAGUAAAGAAGUUGUUGAAUACCCUGGUAUGUUUCUCAUACCAAAAAGAUCUUUAAACUUUUAAGAGAAAAAAUAUUGUGAUUAAUUCUUCAUUAUUUUGUUACUGAGAAAUGCAAUGUACUUAAGGUGAGUAAAAAAAAUAUAUAUUCUGCUAAAGAAGAGGAAUAUACAAAGAAAAUAAGGGAACUGGGCCCAUUGACAUCAGAUGCAUUUGAGACGUACAAAAGGAGGAAUAUCAAAGAAUUGCAUAAAGCGUUGCACAGGUGCCAUGAUCAACUGCAGCAGUUCAGUCAUGUAAACAAGAAAGCACUUGACUAGUAUAUAAAUUUUACAGAACAACGAGAGGAACUUCAGAAAAGGCAAGCUAAACUUGAUGCAGGAGAUGAGAAAAUUAGAGAGCUAAUAUCUGUACAUGAUCAACGGAAGGAUGAAUCAAUAGAGCGCACUUUCAAAGGUGUUGCUAGGCAUUUUCGAGAAGUGUUUUCUGAACUCGUACCGAGGGGUCAUGGUCAUCUGGUUAUGAUGAAGAAGAAGGAUGGUGGUCACGAUGAUGACGAGGAUGAUGAAGAUGGUCCUCGUAAAGCAAACCCAUAGGGUAGAGUAGAAAAGUACAUUGGAGUGAAAGUGAAGGCAAGUGCAUUUCUGCUGUGCCCUUUUUACUUAUGAUUUAAAUGUUUUUUCCAGUUCAUUUAUUGGUCUAACAUUGCAGGCAAGUGUACAAUUUUUUUGUUUGAUGUGCAUCAGGUGAACUUGAUUGACUGGUUUGAGGGAAUAGUAAUAAGUCGUCGCAGCGAUGAGCUAGUCAAACGGAUAAAUACAUUUUUCUAGGAUUAAUAUAAGGACUAAGUUCUUUAUGUACAUAGUAUACUUUUUCUUUUCUUUUUUAUAUGGAAUGUUUAUAAAGUUUAAGUGUUAUAAGUAUUUUUUCUUUUUCUA